GGGUGAAAAGCCCGCUCGCCGGAAGACCAAGGGUUCCUGUCCAACGUUAAUCGGGGCAGGGUGAGUCGACCCCUAAGGCGAGGCCGAAAGGCGUAGUCGAUGGGAAACAGGUUAAUAUUCCUGUACUUGGUGUUACUGCGAAGGGGGGACGGAGAAGGCUAUGUUGGCCGGGCGACGGUUGUCCCGGUUUAAGCGUGUAGGCUGGUUUUCCAGGCAAAUCCGGAAAAUCAAGGCUGAGGCGUGAUGACGAGGCACUACGGUGCUGAAGCAACAAAUGCCCUGCUUCCAGGAAAAGCCUCUAAGCAUCAGGUAACAUCAAAUCGUACCCCAAACCGACACAGGUGGUCAGGUAGAGAAUACCAAGGCGCUUGAGAGAACUCGGGUGAAGGAACUAGGCAAAAUGGUGCCGUAACUUCGGGAGAAGGCACGCUGAUAUGUAGGUGAAGCGACUUGCUCGUGGAGCUGAAAUCAGUCGAAGAUACCAGCUGGCUGCAACUGUUUAUUAAAAACACAGCACUGUGCAAACACGAAAGUGGACGUAUACGGUGUGACGCCUGCCCGGUGCCGGAAGGUUAAUUGAUGGGGUUAGCGGUAACGCGAAGCUCUUGAUCGAAGCCCCGGUAAACGGCGGCCGUAACUAUAACGGUCCUAAGGUAGCGAAAUUCCUUGUCGGGUAAGUUCCGACCUGCACGAAUGGCGUAAUGAUGGCCAGGCUGUCUCCACCCGAGACUCAGUGAAAUUGAACUCGCUGUGAAGAUGCAGUGUACCCGCGGCAAGACGGAAAGACCCCGUGAACCUUUACUAUAGCUUGACACUGAACAUUGAGCCUUGAUGUGUAGGAUAGGUGGGAGGCUUUGAAGUGUGGACGCCAGUCUGCAUGGAGCCGACCUUGAAAUACCACCCUUUAAUGUUUGAUGUUCUAACGUUGGCCCCUGAUCGGGGUUGCGGACAGUGUCUGGUGGGUAGUUUGACUGGGGCGGUCUCCUCCUAAAGAGUAACGGAGGAGCACGAAGGUUGGCUAAUCCUGGUCGGACAUCAGGAGGUUAGUGCAAUGGCAUAAGCCAGCUUGACUGCGAGCGUGACGGCGCGAGCAGGUGCGAAAGCAGGUCAUAGUGAUCCGGUGGUUCUGAAUGGAAGGGCCAUCGCUCAACGGAUAAAAGGUACUCCGGGGAUAACAGGCUGAUACCGCCCAAGAGUUCAUAUCGACGGCGGUGUUUGGCACCUCGAUGUCGGCUCAUCACAUCCUGGGGCUGAAGUAGGUCCCAAGGGUAUGGCUGUUCGCCAUUUAAAGUGGUACGCGAGCUGGGUUUAGAACGUCGUGAGACAGUUCGGUCCCUAUCUGCCGUGGGCGCUGGAGAACUGAGGGGGGCUGCUCCUAGUACGAGAGGACCGGAGUGGACGCAUCACUGGUGUUCGGGUUGUCAUGCCAAUGGCACUGCCCGGUAGCUAAAUGCGGAAGAGAUAAGUGCUGAAAGCAUCUAAGCACGAAACUUGCCCCGAGAUGAGUUCUCCCUGACUCCUUGAGAGUCCUGAAGGAACGUUGAAGACGACGACGUU
rnacentral:rRNA from 1 species